AUUUCCGGCGGGGCCUCCCAGCUGGAAGAGGCGGUGGCGGCGGGUCGGGGUGAGAGGGUCUUGCUCUGUUGCCUGGACUGGAGUGCAGUGCCACGAUCUUGGCUCACUGCAGCGUUGACCUCCUGGGCUCAAGCAGUCCUCCCACCCCAGCCUCUGAGUCGCUGGGACUACAAGUGCAUGCUGCCACACCAGAGGCUGAGGGGAUCUGGCGGUGGAGCGCUAGGAUCAGACGCCCCCGCAAUGACCAGCUCCCCCGUCUCCAGAGUCGUGUACAACGGCAAGAGGACCAGCAGCCCCCGCUCCCCACCCAGCAGCAGCGAGAUCUUCACCCCAGCCCACGAGGAGAACGUCCGCUUCAUUUACGAAGCCUGGCAGGGCGUGGAGCGAGACCUGCGAAGCCAGGUGCCGGGCGGCGAGCGGGGUCUGGUGGAGGAGUAUGUGGAGAAGGUCCCUAACCCCAGCCUGAAGACCUUCAAGCCCAUCGACCUGAGUGACCUGAAGCGCCGGAGCACGCAGGAUGCCAAGAAGUCCUAGAGCGCCCAGCGCCCCUCCCCGGCCUCUGGAAGAUCAGGGUGCGAGGUGUCGGCUCCCUCCUGUCCUGUGGCCCUGCUCCUGGGAUGGGGGUGUCUUGCUCCAGCGGGCUGCAGACCGCAGCACCGGUGUGACUGACGGCUGAGGCCUCUCUCUCCUUCCCAAGUCCCCUCCUUCCUCCUUGGGGGUCUCAGGCUGCCCCCAUCAUGGGGGUCUGGGCCCUCCCCACCCUCCUGCCCUCCCCCAGCCACCUGGCUGUGUUUUUGAAGCUGCCUGGCCCCCAGGGACCCUGGCCUGCCCUCUUUCCUCUCCCCUCACCCUCCUGUCCUUGGCCACUGCAGAAUCAGGAGGGGAGCAGAAGGAGCCUCUGCUGCCCCCCAGGCUGCUGGGACUGGGCUGGUUUUGUCCUUGAAAUGGCCAGGAUACAGGACAAGGGCAGCCCCACCCCAUCCAACUUGGGACCCCCCCACAGACCCUUGCUGCUCCUGUGGCCUGGACACGCUGGGGAGCUUCUCACACCUACCCCUACUGUCCAGCCUGGCCCGUUCCCUGAAUCAGCUUCAAGAUGGCACCAGCUCUUUGGGCCUAGGAUACUGCCGGGCCCCCCAAAGGGGGUCCCCAGCAGCCAGGCCUGGCCUCCUGGUAUCUGUGGUCAUAGUGGCCCAUGGGUAGGGGCACCCAGGCUGACCCUGAGGUGCUGCUGCUGGGUCUGUCUUGGCUCUGGGGUAUGCUGGGAGGGUCACCAGGUCCCUUUUUCUUCCUGUGCCCUCUGAAAGCCAAGUGUCUGUGUGGCUGUGGAGCUCCAGGGUCUGUUAAUAAAGGCAGCGGCACUGGG
rnacentral:lncRNA from 1 species